ensembl:lncRNA
CUUGAGUUGACGACCCUGAUAUCAAAGGAGCACGGUGUUCACCACCAAUCAGAUGAAGAGCUCACCUACCUUCUGUCACCGUGGCAUCUGAACCCCCUGCCCACUGGGCCCAUUGUGUCUCUCUCUAGGAGGCAGAAACCAGUAACCCUAACCGGCCUGUGAUUACCGAAACAAUCAGAGCGUCUCUGUUUAUUAGCAACCGUGUCCUUUCACACCACACGGUCCAUUCUCCCCCAGCCAGCGCUCAGCGGAGCGUGGCUCAAGGCGACCGGUGAGGAGCCAGAGAACAAUGACCUCCAGGCCCCAAAACCAGACCAACCGGUGUGGAGGUGUUUCCCGCUCCUCCACAAGAAACUCUUUGUGUCCACGGUCGCUAUGGCGAUAUCCAGAGCGACCCCUCUCGCGUCAACAGUUCGAGAGGUUUUAAGAGCCGGGAGGCUGGGGUCGCGUGGCACUUUACUUCACCCUCGAGCUCCGACGCGCACGAAUCACCACAUCCCAGCGGUCGACAGCCAGGAGAUCAGACGGAGAAAGUGCUGCCGUCCAGGGGGUCAUCUGUAGAGCUGCUGUCCAGGGGGUCUUGUCUUCAGAUCCUCGUGUUCCGGGUCCCACGGGCGCCGUGCGAUGGGCUGCAGCGCCAGCAGAACGGUCAAGGAGGUGGAGGAGGGGGAGGGUCCGGACGAGAGGCCCAAGUCGGGCAGCUCCGCCCGGAGCCGAGCGGAGAAGCAGAAGGACGGCGCCUCCAUCCAGGACAAGGUGGAGCCGGUGGAGAAGGCCAGCUGAGGACGGCCGCCAUGGUGUUGUUCUCCACCCCCCCCCCCCCUUCCCUCCCCUGCCUCCCACGAUUGGCCUGUCUGCUCUGAAGGAGGGUGUGUCAGGGACCGGCUACACAGCACAACUGUCCAUCAACCCCUGUGUCAUCUGGAUCUGGAACGGCGACACACAAACGCACACACACAUACACAGACACACACGCCGAUAAACACACACAGACACGCAUGCACACACACACGCACACAUCACACACACACACACACACACACACACACACACACACACACAACACACACACACACACACACACACACACACACACACACACACACACACACACACACACACACACACACACACACACACACACACAGGGGCAAGUCAUUCAAGGCAUACAGAUCAACAGAAACAUUAAACACACAAUCAAUACCUGCAUGUAGGUGUAGACACUCUUUGGUUCC